CAUAACUGUCUUCCAUGUGUUUUGGGGGUUUUACUGCAUUCAGCUCUCUGUAUCCGUGAGAUAAUUAACUUACCGGUCCCUGACCUAAUUAUCUCUCAGACACAGACGCCUGGGUGGGAUCACUGUGUAAAGAAUUAAGACACCAGACUUGGGGUUUGAGCAUAAAAGGCUGAAUUCUGAGCAAAACGAAUAGAUUACAUAUUACGCCCAGAACGAUGUCUCGUCUGGUUACUGGGGGAAAGAGAGGAGAGUUUAGCUGAG